rnacentral:rRNA from 1 species
GACGAACGCUGGCGGCGUGCUUAACACAUGCAAGUCGAACGGAAAGGCCCUGCUUUUGUGGGGUGCUCGAGUGGCGAACGGGUGAGUAACACGUGAGUAACCUGCCCUUGACUUUGGGAUAACUUCAGGAAACUGGGGCUAAUACCGGAUAGGAGCUCCUGCUGCAUGGUGGGGGUUGGAAAGUUUCGGCGGUUGGGGAUGGACUCGCGGCUUAUCAGCUUGUUGGUGGGGUAGUGGCUUACCAAGGCUUUGACGGGUAGCCGGCCUGAGAGGGUGACCGGCCACAUUGGGACUGAGAUACGGCCCAGACUCCUACGGGAGGCAGCAGUGGGGAAUAUUGCACAAUGGGCGGAAGCCUGAUGCAGCAACGCCGCGUGCGGGAUGACGGCCUUCGGGUUGUAAACCGCUUUCGCCUGUGACGAAGCGUGAGUGACGGUAAUGGGUAAAGAAGCACCGGCUAACUACGUGCCAGCAGCCGCGGUGAUACGUAGGGUGCGAGCGUUGUCCGGAUUUAUUGGGCGUAAAGGGCUCGUAGGUGGUUGAUCGCGUCGGAAGUGUAAUCUUGGGGCUUAACCCUGAGCGUGCUUUCGAUACGGGUUGACUUGAGGAAGGUAGGGGAGAAUGGAAUUCCUGGUGGAGCGGUGGAAUGCGCAGAUAUCAGGAGGAACACCAGUGGCGAAGGCGGUUCUCUGGGCCUUUCCGAACGCUGAGGAGCGAAAGCGUGGGGAGCGAACAGGCUUAGAUACCCUGGUAGUCCACGCUGUAAACGGUGGGUACUAGGUGUGGGGUCCAUUCCACGGGUUCCGCGCCGUAGCUAACGCUUUAAGUACCCCGCCUGGGGGAGUACGGCCGCAAGGCUAAAACUCAAAGGAAUUGACGGGGCCCCGCACAAGCGGCGGAGCAUGCGGAUUAAUUCGAUGCAACGCGUAGAACCUUACCUGGGUUUGACAUGGAUCGGGAGUGCUCAGAGAUGGGUGUGCCUCUUUUGGGGUCGGUUCACAGGUGGUGCAUGGCUGUCGUCAGCUCGUGUCGUGAGAUGUUGGGUUAAGUCCCGCAACGAGCGCAACCCUUGUUCACUGUUGCCAGCACGUUAUGGUGGGGACUCAGUGGAGACCGCCGGGGUCAACUCGGAGGAAGGUGGGGAUGACGUCAAGUCAUCAUGCCCCUUAUGUCCAGGGCUUCACGCAUGCUACAAUGGCUGGUACAGAGAGUGGCGAGCCUGUGAGGGUGAGCGAAUCUCGGAAAGCCGGUCUCAGUUCGGAUUGGGGUCUGCAACUCGACCUCAUGAAGUCGGAGUCGCUAGUAAUCGCAGAUCAGCAACGCUGCGGUGAAUACGUUCCCGGG